UCUAUAUUUAAAAAAUAAGAAAAAAAAAAAAGAAAACGCCAAACCUCGAAAAACUUAUUGGUUAAAUAACCCAAGGCAAAUAACUGAAGCUCAAAACAAGCGUGACUCAGCAGUCACUCUGAAUGUCUUCAUCAGCUGCUGCCGGCUACACCCAGACAAGCCAAACACCACCCGGAAAACUGCAUUCUGUAAGUGUCUGUGUGUGACUCACGGCUGCCCUGCCCAUUAGACGUGAAUAUCAAAGGAAUCCAGAA